UAGUAGGGAGGAUUGGGGUGUUAACCGUACCCCGUUCUGAAACCGGUUCACGCAGAGAUCAGUAACUGCUGGGUAAAUCUCUGGCCGGGUAGUUCCCGCUUGGUAUGGUGGGAUGAGAUUACGCCGGGGCAGGUGGUUGCAGGUCCGGGGACAUCCGAAGGGACGUCUUCCAGGAUCGAACUACAGAACGUGAUCAGGUCCGGGAGGGAGCAGUCCUAAUGUAGAGCAUCCACGCUUUCCCGUCUACGUAAUGGAUCUGUCAUGCCCUGAAAUGGGGCUAUCUGACCAGACCGGAGCCAGUGGGCCUACUA
rnacentral:SRP_RNA from 3 species